rnacentral:rRNA from 1 species
UACGUAGGGUGCGAGCGUUGUCCGGAAUUACUGGGCGUAAAGAGCUCGUAGGUGGUUUGUCACGUCGUCAGUGAAAGCCCGGGGCUCAACCGCGGGACUGCAUCGGAUACUGUAUAUCUGGAGUGCCGGAGGGGCAAGCGGAAUUCCUGGUGUAGCGGUGAAAUGCGUAGAUAUCAGGAGGAACACCGGCGGCGAAGGCGGCUUGCUGGACGGCAACUGACGUUGAGGCUCGAAAGCGUGGGGAGCAAACAGGAUUAGAUACCCUGGUA